GGAUUAGGCAUGCAAGUCGAACGAGAAAGUUCUCUUCGGAGAGCAAGUAGAGUGGCGAACGGGUGAGUAAUGCAUGGAUAACCUACCUCUGAGAGGGGGAUAACGUUUCGAAAGGAACGCUAAUACCGCAUAACAUUCGAGGGCACAUGCCCUCGAAUCAAAGAUAGCCUCUGCAUGCAAGCUUUCACUCAGAGAGGGGUUCAUGUGCUAUUAGUUUGUUGGUGAGGUAACGGCUCACCAAGACUACGAUGGCUAGCCGGCCUGAGAGGGUGACCGGCCACACUGGGACUGAGACACUGCCCAGACUCCUACGGGAGGCUGCAGUCGAGAAUCUUCCGCAAUGCGCGCAAGCGUGACGGAGCGACGCCGCGUGGGUGAUGAAGGCCUUCGGGUUGUAAAGCCCUGUUGUCUGCUAAGAAUGCCAGGCGGUGAAUAGCUGUCCUGGUUGACGUCAGCAGAGGAGGAAGCACCGGCUAAAUACGUGCCAGCAGCCGCGGUAAUACGUAUGGUGCAAACGUUGUUCGGAAUCACUGGGCAUAAAGAGCACGUAGGCGGUCUGGUAAGUCUGACUGUGAAAUCCCUCGGCUCAACCGAGGAACUGCAUCGGAUACUGCCGGACUCGAGUACAGUAGGGGAGAGUGGAAUUCCAGGUGGAGCGGUGAAAUGCGUAGAUAUCUGGAGGAACGCCAGUGGCGAAAGCGACUCUCUGGGCUGUUACUGACGCUGAGGUGCGAAAGCCAGGGGAGCAAACGGGAUUAGAUACCCCGGUAGUCCUGGCCCUAAACGAUGGGCACUAAGUAGAGGGGUUUU
rnacentral:rRNA from 1 species